UACGUAGGUGGCAAGCGUUAUCCGGAAUUACUGGGCGUAAAGCGUGCGUAGGCGGUUCGUUAAGUCAGCUGUGAAAGCCCCGGGCUCAACCUGGGAACUGCGGUUGAAACUGGCGAACUAGAAUCUGGCAGAGGGGGGUGGAAUUCCACGUGUAGCAGUGAAAUGCGUAGAGAUGUGGAGGAACACCGAUGGCGAAGGCAGCCCCCUGGGCUGAGAUUGACGCUCAGGCACGAAAGCGUGGGGAGCAAACAGG
rnacentral:rRNA from 1 species